rnacentral:rRNA from 1 species
AUUGAACGCUGGCGGCAGGCCUAACACAUGCAAGUCGAACGAGUGGCGGACGGGUGAGUAAUGUCUGGGACACUGCCUGAUGGAGGGGGCUCACUUCUGGAAACGGUAGCUAAUCCCGCAUACCAUCGGAUGUGCCCAGAUGGGAUUAGCUAGUAGGUGGGGUAAAGGCUCCCCUAGGCGACGAUCCCUAGCUGGUCGUAGAGGAUGACCAGCCACACUGGGACUGAGACACGGUUCAGACUUCUACGGGAGGCAGCAGGUGGGAAUAUUGCUCAAUGGGCGCAAGCCGGAUGCAGCCAUUCCGGGGGUAUGAAGAAGGCCUUCGGGUUUGAAAGUACUUUCAGCGGGGAGGCGUUACCCGCAGAAGAAGCACCGGCUAACUCCGUGCCAGCAGCCGCGGUAAUAC